CUGGCCUGGUGAUGUCACCGACCGGCCCAGCGCGCAGCCGCAGGGGGCUGCGCCCCUGGGACCCCAGCCCUGCGCAUCCUGGCGCCUGGCUGGGGCCUGAGGGAUGGAAGCCCACGGAGGCCAGAGAGGGGCGAGGUAUCGGACCCUGAGCCCAGCAACAACCCCCACAACACCCCCACGCCCGCCGCUCUAGGAGUGACCUGCUCCGGGCUGUGGGUGCCAGGGCCAGGUGCCUCCUCCAGCAAGCGCAGGGCACGGGGCCGCCCCAGCAUGGUGAAUGCUGGCCAUCGCUGACGACAGACGACACAAGAUGAACCCUUCUACAAGUAUGGCCUCCUCGUGGAUCAGGAAGUGACAGCAGAGCUCAGGAACCGUGAAGAUGGACCCUCUGGAAAGUCAUGUCACAGUGGGGAUCAAAGACAGGGGUUAAAAGAUCAUGAGUUCAAAGCCAGCCUCAGGAACUUGGCCAGGCCCUGUCUGUAAAUAAAACAUAAACAAUGGCUGGGGAUGUGGCUCAGUGCCUGAGUGCCCUGGGUUGAAUCCCGAGUACCAAAACAAAAACAAAACAAACAAACAAACAAAAAAACUCCACUGAGAUUCCAUGUCAUUGUGGUAGAAUGGCACUCUUCAAGAACACAAAUAAUAACAAACGCUGGCAAGGAUCUGGGGGAAAUUUACAGUCGUUCAUUGUUAGUGGGACUGCAAAUCAGUGCAGCCACUCUGGAAAGCCGAAUGAAGAGUCCUCAAAGAACUCGGAAGGGAACUACCAUGUGACCCAGCUAUGCCACUCCUGGGUAUUCAUCAAAAGAACCAAAAUCAGCACCCUAUCGUGACGCAGCCACCUCAAUGUUUAUAGCAGCACAGCUCACAAUAGCCAAGCUGUGGAACCAGCCCAGGUGGCCAUCAACAGCUGAAUGGAUAAAGACAAUGUGGCACAGAUGGUUCUCUACUCAGCCAAAAGAAUUAAGUCAUGGCAUUUGGCAGUAACUGGGAGGAGCCGGAGAACAUGAUGCUAAGUGAGAUCAGCGAGGCUGGGACAGGCCAGGGCCAAGUGUUCUCUCACGGUGCAAGUGGAGCAAGACGAAGGGGACAGGCAGGGGACUGGACAUCACAGGGAAGCUCGGCG